UACGUAGGGUGCAGGCGUUUAAUCGGAAUUACUGGGCGUAAAGCGUGCGCAGGCGGUCUGCUAAGAGAGAUGUGAAAUCCCCGGGCUUAACCUGGGAACUGCGUUUCUAACUGGCAGGCUUGAGUGUGGCAGAGGGGGGUGGAAUUCCACGUGUAGCAGUGAAAUGCGUAGAGAUGUGGAGGAACACCGAUGGCGAAGGCAGCCCCCUGGGCUAACACUGACGCUCAUGCACGAAAGCGUGGGGAGCAAACAGG
rnacentral:rRNA from 1 species